ensembl:lncRNA
CCAUAUAAGGGUUGAACAAAUUACUUUUUUUAAAAAAAGUGCUUUUUGGAAAAAUCCAUGGGAAUAAUCCUUGACAAAAAUGAACCAAAAUACAGAAGUUUAUUCUGCACUAUCAGUUUCUGUUACGCCAAGUGACAUCAUUGAGGAGAGAAUCUUUAUGUAAAUUCAAGAAGUUUUAGUAUAUGUCUUAUUUUCAAAUGUCUGAAGGAUCAUUGUACAACACAAACAAUGAAUAACAGUCAAUGAAUUAAGAAACGAAAACCACCCAGAAACCACUUGACUGAGUUAUCAUGUGAUUGAUUGGAAAGUGCUCAAAUGUUUACACGUAUGUGUAAAAGAGAUGCGUCCUUUGUGCACCAUUUACAAAUUAAAAAGAAAACACAAUUUCUGAAGUUUAUAACAAGCAGUUUGCUACACUUUAGGCAGACUUUCUGUUAUUUUGAUGAACUCUCAUAUUAUUUAGUAAACACAUCCUCUGAGCCAAGAAAGGUGAGAAAUAUGCCUCAUUGAUUGUCUAUAUUCUAAUUAAUCAUUGUUGUGUGAUAUAAUGCUAUUGGCAUAACGAUACAUCUGGUGCUAUUUAUCUUCUUGAUCUUCUUGUAGGUAUCAGAUUUCACUGGAAUGACUUGAGUAAGCUUUCACUCAAACUAAGAUUGGGGAUUAGCAACUAUUGGUAUUAUGAAGUAUCUCAGGACAGUGAUGGUACUGAUGUUUUAUCUCUGCUGCAAAGGAUCUCAGGAGUUCAUCACAGAAUAAUGGAAUGGCCUGAGCUGAAAAGGACCACAAUGAUCAUCCAGGUUCAAACCCCGUGCUAUGUACAGGGUUGCCAGCCACCAGACCAGACCGUCCAGAGCCACAUCCAGCCUGGCCUUGAAUGCCUCCAGGGAUGGGGCAUCCACAACCUCCUUGGGCAACCUGUUCUGGUGUGUCACCACCCUCUGUCUAAAAAACUUCCUGCUAAUAUCUCACCUAAACCUCCCCUGUCUCAGUUUAAAACCAUUCCCCCUUGUCUUAUCACUGUCAACCCAUUUAGACAGUUGUUUCUCCUCCAGUUUAUAUGCUCCCUUCAAGUACUGGAAGGAGAUGUCUGAGCUUAUCUUGGUUUAUUCUGAAUUGAGGUUCUUUCUCUGGAGUAACAACUGUUUAGUCAUAGAGGGACAAUUAACAAACUGUGUUUUGGUUUAGUUUAGUUUAUAACGAGCUCCAUCAGGUGCUCAGAAGCCCAUCCAGCCUGGCCUUGAGUUUCUCUAGGGAUCUAUCACCUUUCUGGUCAACCUGUGCAGUGCUUCCCCACAAAAAAAAAAAAACCUUUUUCAUGACUAACCUUUUUGUUACAUCCAAUCUAAACUUCCCCUUUUAGUUUUAAACCAUUUCCCCUUCACACCAGAUCAU